rnacentral:rRNA from 1 species
CAAUAGCGUAUAUUAAAGUUGUUGUAGUUAAAAAGCUCGUAGUUGGAUUUCUGGUCGGAAGCUCCUGUCCUCUGAUGAGCGUACAAGUGCGUCCUACCAUCCUUCUGUUAACCUUUAAGGCUUUCGCGGCUUUCUAGGGGCUCAGAUAUUUUACCUUGAGAAAAUUAGAGUGUUUCAGGCAGGCUAGCGCCGGAAUACAUUAGCAUGGAAUAAUGGAAUAGGACUUUUGCCUCUUCUGUUGGUCAUGAGGCUCGAGUAAUGAUUAAUAGGGAUAGUUGGGGGCAUUAGUACUUAACUGUCGGAGGUGAAAUUCUCGGAUUUGUUAAAGACUAACUUAUGCGAAAGCAUUUGCCAAGGAUGUUUUCAUUAA